UCCUCCAGCAAUGGGCAAAGAGACACCUUGUUUGUGUUGUUCUUAUAUCAAUCAGGGGCAGAGCAGACGGUCGUCCUUUGUUCACUCUAGCUUGAUGCCUGGCUUGGUGGCCAAAGCUGUUUUAAGCCUAGGAUGCAUAA